UGAUACGUGGACCAUCUGAUUGUAACAUCUGUCAUCCUAUUGAUAACCCAGGGUUGAUUCUUCUGAGCUAGCUGGUGUCCUGUUCCUCUCUCACUGGUCCAUGUUUCUCCCUCCUUAAGCUUCAUGCUUGGAUGACUGAAGAUAAUGACUUUCCCUGAUAGAGGACAUGUAUAAAGCAGGAUGAAAACCAGCUGUGCUUCUCUGCUAGCACCUCCAAAUAAGUUCUCAAGAGGUACCUAUUUCUAGGAAUUUUAUGGGAUUUACAGGGAUCUUUAAAAAUUCUAACACAUAAAAACCAAACUAUUGAAUUU
ensembl:misc_RNA 7SK 7SK RNA